ACACCUCAACUCUCAUGGUUUUGCCAUGAUGAGCUUGGACUUUGGGGGUCUUGCUGGCCUAUUGUCGGCUCCUCUUAAAUGAAUCAGCUUGCCAGUGUUUGGUGGCAUCGCAGGUGUGAUAACUAUCUACGCUUGUGGUUUUCCGUCAAGUAACCUUCAGCGAUGGAGGUUCACUGGGGCUCAUAAAGGCCUCUCCUCAGUGAGGAUGGCUCCUUUUGAAU
rnacentral:misc_RNA from 1 species